UCCUCAUCACCCUCACCAAUAAUAGGAAUUGUUGGUCCAGAUAAAAUGGCAAAUCUCCUAGCCAGCCAAAGAAGAGCCGAUGUUGGGCCUAUGCCAGCAAAUUCAUUAGGAGAACCACGAACUUGUCCUGCAGCAUCUUUGCUUUUAAAUUCUCCAGGGUAAGACCACACCAGACAAGGAAGUGGGCCAUCUUUUGAUGGAUCAUAACCAGGUGGCAAGUACAAUGUUGCAGUAAGCUGAACUCCAUCCUUCCUCUGGUACUUAAUCAUCUCUUUCUGCAAUGAUGCCAAUUGAGGAUAUGGGUGAGGAAAAUUUGUAAUCUGACAUGCUUUCUGAUCUGGCCAGCUCUGGAUGUAAUACUGGGUAUUUUCAGUUUUUGACUCCUUCGAAGUUAACAAUUUCAACUGAUCAAGAUAUAGAUCCCCUUCCUCAUAAUCAGACAUUAAGGCAACAACUGUCUCAAAGUAUUUUUCCUUGUCACUCUGCCAAAUUCGUUCUUUGCUGCUUGUAUUUAUGUCAAACAGAUCAAGGAAAG
rnacentral:misc_RNA from 1 species